rnacentral:rRNA from 1 species
GACGAACGCUGGCGGCGUGCCUAAUACAUGCAAGUCGAGCGGACCUUUCGGGGUCAGCGGCGGACGGGUGAGUAACACGUGGGCAAUCUGCCCGAUACUCUGGGAUAACGCUUGGAAACGAGUGCUAAUACCGGAUGGUCUUCUUGGCCGCAUGGCCGAGAAGGAAAAGACGCGUUCGCGUCGGUGUCGGAUGAGCCCGCGGCGCAUUAGCUAGUUGGUGAGGUAACGGCCCACCAAGGCGACGAUGCGUAGCCGACCUGAGAGGGUGACCGGCCACACUGGGACUGAGACACGGCCCAGACUCCUACGGGAGGCAGCAGUAGGGAAUCUUCCACAAUGGGCGAAAGCCUGAUGGAGCAACGCCGCGUGAGUGAUGAAGGCCUUCGGGUUGUAAAACUCUGUCAUUCGGGACGAACCGGAGUCUGAGGAAAUGCAGACUCUCUGACGGUACCGGAGGAGGAAGCCCCGGCUAACUACGUGCCAGCCGCCGCCGUAACAC